rnacentral:sRNA from 1 species
AUUAUUCUUCUGCUGUUCAGAAAUUUUCCCAGACGCUGCAGUCAUUUCAGUUUGAUUUCAUUGGAGACACUCUGACUGAUGAUGAAAUUAACAUCG